rnacentral:tRNA from 1 species
UCAGUUUUAGUAUAAAUCUAUUACGAAGGUCUUGUAAACCUUAAAUCUGUGGACUCAUGGAAACUGAA